CAUGUAGAGCUAAUUUCGUGUUGCUAAGUUGGGGCAAUGGUGGUGGUUUGGAGGAGUUUGGAGGUGGUGGUGGUGCUCAUCCGAUGACUGUGAGGCGGCUCGAGGUUGGGGUUCACACGCUUCAAGGGUACAAAAUGGAGAGAGUAUCAUUGCUAUCUCCGGAGAUUGAGAGUAAGCAUCGGGCUGCUCGAUUAUCGGCGCAUCCUGGGAGUGUCGAGCCCCUUGUCACGCGCACUCUUAAGGAAAAUUAGAUGAUACACCCUGCCUGGAUUCAGCGUUUGAAGUGGGCUGGCCUUUUACCUUUCGCACGACUUGUUGAGGCAACUCGUGCGGAAAUGGUAGAGGGCGACCGACGAGGUUUCAACUCUACACGGCUACAAAUUGACCACUCGCUCCUGAGCUGCUUAGUGGACAGAUAGAGGCCCGAGACACACACGUUUCACUUUCGCUGGGGAGAGAUGGCUCCUACUCUCCAGGAUGUGUCGAUGCUGCUGGGACUACCAUUGGUGGGUGAUCCCAUAGGACCGUUGCAGGCACCAGCUGAUUGGCAGGAGGGUAUGGCACUACGCUU